GGCCUCCUGGUACUUACCCACAGGCUGUGUUCUUACACUGACUGCAGAGAAAGAGGAGGGUAGAGUAAACCUACCCAAUGUACACCUCAGCCCAGGCCCUGUGCCUGGUCUGUAUUGUGAAUGGGGGGACAUAG